UUAAAAUCGAAAGCAUAUCCAACAAAAUCAGAUGGUGAUAACGCUUACAAAAAUACAUGAAAGUUUGAAACAAAUCAUACAUAAACACAAGCUCAUAAAGCCAAAAUAUCAUACAUGCAUUUGGAAAGCUGUAAUAAUACAUGAAGAAAGAGCAAAAGGCAUAUACAUACAAAUACUACACUUAAAUAUCCAAAUCUUAUAUAUUGAAUUAUAACAAAAAGUAGAGCACAAAUAAAAAAUAAUUUCACAAGUAGGCAUAGAUUCUACACCAUUGAUCUCUAGUAGAAGUAGAAUCAACGAUUUAGAUGGUCAGCAAGAGAAAACUAAGUAAAACUUACCAACGAAGAGACCCCAAAUAUCAUUUGAGAUUUUUUGCGGUAGUACCACAAAUCGAUCAAAAAAUUCAAUUACAUGUGAAUGUAAAGCAAGUGCUAAAUAUGAUAGCAUGGAAGAAGCAUCUCAAGUAAAAAAAACUUUAGAAUAAAAUUGGAGGAAACCACAUUCUCCACAAUGUUUUAGCAAAAGGAGGCAACAUAUAUUCUUCUAGCUUUAAAAAAUAGUCUAGGAGAAGAAAAAUCAUAGUAACUAAUUCCAUGUUCCUUUCCUACGCAUGUAUAUUAAAAUAAAAAGGGAAAAGGGCUCAAAACAACCAGAAUUGAAGCAUAGAAACUUAAACUCAAUUCAUUCAACACUCUAUUUGAUCAUUAGGCAACGAAAAAUUAACCUACUUUCGGAUUGUGAUUCUGCAUGUGGUUUAGUAUGUUUUAAGGGCACUCUUUAGAGCAGGAGCAGGAGCGGGAGGAAGAGGUGUAGUGGUGCUGGCGACAUCUCCAUUGGCGGAAGAUGGCGGCAGCCGGAAGAGGCAAAUCUUCGAACAAGUCUCUGACCAUUUUGUGAUCUGCAUUUGUAUCUAUAAACAACCCAAAGAAGACUAUAGUUAUUGAAUGUUUUUGAGAUGCAGGACAUCGGAUGAUGAUUUUGGGUCUCUUACUCGAAGAUGACAUCGAAGUCUCCCCUUACUAUUACCUAUGGAUCAAAUAUGCUCUCUUGGGCUACCACUAUGACCCUCAAAUAUCACUCUCUGAGCUCUCCUCCAUCUCUCUUUACACGCCACGUUUGGUGGAAGUUGUCAAAGAAAGGCCUAAAUGAAAUGCAAUUGAGUUCUUCAAACACAUUCAUCUAAACACAUCAUAUCUUCAUCAGCUGCCUUGCAGUUGGGGCGCAGUGUUUUUCCCCCAACCAAUGGAAGGAGUUCUAUGUCUACAUGAACAUGAGAUUCACGAAAGAUCCAAAGCAAAAUCCAUACAGACACCAAAAUCAAGAACUAAUGAAUGGCAAACUUCAUGGAAGAAGUUCUUGAUAGACAUGAUGUAGUUAAGAGGAUACGUUAGCCUUUAUCCGAACUUUCCAAAUCAAAUGAGCUUUUCGACAAACCAUAUGGAACCAGGAGCUCACAUAGCAGCUAACAAUAAUUUAGUUAAACAUAACAAGGCAGAUUUUGAGGUGCCAUUACUAAAAGAAGACUUUAAGAACCUCUUACCUAAUGGGAAAAUGGCUCAAGCUUCGAAGUUACCUUCGUUGAAUCUCUUUAAUCAACCUGUUUCAUUAAAAGGCUUAAAGACAGCAGGAGCAAAACUUGGGACAGACGUACUAUAAUGUAGUCCAACGGAGAUAGUAUCUGUUCACCACGAUACAGGUUUACCAUCACAUUGUGCAAGAUUCUGAUUACAAAUUACAAUUCUUUUUAUUUAUGUGAUUUGUGUCAAUUACAUCAUUUACCACUUCAACUUCUGUGUCCUUUCCACCAAAGUCGUUGACUCAUAGGAAUAGAUGGUGCAUUUAAUUUCCUGCACUUUACCUCUAAUGACAUGUUUCUCAUCACCUAGAACACUUCAUUCUUUUUUCUUUUUUUUUUGUAGUGUAUUCUUACAUAAGACUAAUUAUAUAAUAAUGAUCAACAACAAUCUAUUCUUGAUAAACAAUAUAUCGUUUCUCAAUUAUUUGAAUUUUAGGCGUAAUUUGUAUUACCCGAGAACUUUCAAUAGUAACAUGAAAGUACAGAAAGCUUAACGAUCUAAAACGGCAAAUACAACUCAGUCUAAUAUUAAAAAGUGAGUAACAAUCAUCUUCGAUAGACCUUUAUAGAAUGAAACAGGUCAAUAUGUUUUGAAAACAAUUGUCUUUUCCAUGAAAAAUCUUAAAGCUCCUUUUAAUAUGCUCCUCGAAGUUAUAGUUGAAACCGCAAGAGGAAAAACUGUGCAACUUUUAUUGGAUAAAUAAUUAGUUGACUCGAGAACUUGUUUCAAAAUUUGUUUGUAUUUUGACUAAAGGUUGCAAUUUAAACAUUACCUUUAUUGUUUACUUGAUUAACACUAAUCAAUAUUUUUUAAAAUAGAAAACACACUCACCAUAAAUUUGAAAAUAAGUCCUGCAAAUUCAUCAAGAAAAAGUAUAACCGCAAAGUAAACAUCACAAAAAUCCUAAAUUACUUAGUAUACUUAAAUCAUUGAGUCCUUCUCCUUUCAUUUAAUUUUAGCACAAAGAGGUUUAUAUAGUGAACUUAUACCAAGAGGGGAAAAGUCGAAGGAAAGCGAAAAUCGAAUGACUUUCACAAAUUGACAAAAUAUAAGUGUAUUACGUACUAACCUUUGAAAAUUUUGCUGACAUAGACUUCCUCUAUGCUCUUCGAGUUUUCCUAAUGCCAUUGACAACUAUAAAAUUGACAAAAAGAACAGUCACAUGUAAAGAAUCUGUUAACAAAAGAGCCAAAACACUUGAGUAAAUUCUAUUUUAUUCUGUGAAAGCUUCUCACCGAUAUUAGAGCAGAACUAAACCCUAGGAACUGAAACAACACAUCCAUUAGAACGGAAUGUUAUCGCAGAUAGAAAUCACGGGAGAGCGCAAACAGAGAGAAUGGUGAAAGAAAAACUCAGAGAAGAACGAACUGAGAGAGUCGUAGAACAGAGAAAGGAAAAGUGUGGACAUUCGGUCCUUUCAUUGAAGAAGUGAAGAACUUCGUAGAAGAGAAAAGUGAGGAAGAAUAUUGUUAUCACACUUGUAGUACACGUGUUGCCAUAAAAGUAAUAUAAAGUAAUAAGAUAAAAUUA
rnacentral:lncRNA from 1 species